UCCUUGCUGUGUGUGACUAGAUUCUUCUCCCUGUCUGUGAAUACUAUUUCUCUUCCUCGAAGCUCACCUCCACAGCAUAGUGGCUGGUCUCCAAGAAGAAGAAAAAAAGGAAACAGUGAAGAGAAAAAGGAAAGAAAAGGGAAAUGUGAGAACAAAAAUGGCAACAAAGGUAUUCAGCAUCAUAACCCAAAGAGAAAGAAUGUGAUAGCUAAUUCUUAUUGCUACCCUUGCUGGAUUAAGAAAUGUCUGGAAUACAGAAUGUACUUGGGUGGAUCUGUGAGUCCAUUUCCAGAGAAGGACUGCUGACUAAGACGAUCUACACUGAACUUUAGUGGACUGGGAUGUCAAAGUGUGGAAAAGAAGGAGGUCAGCUGAGUUGCAGGAUUCUGCCUUCUCACUUUCUUUGUCUUCUGUGAUGUCCAGGAGAAGCUGCCUCGUGCUCCUGCCAUACCCUCCUCACAAAUUUACAGUGCCCUUGAAAUUGCCUUCAAAGUAAACAUUUCCUCCCUUAUAAGAGUGUAUUCAGGUAUUUGGCAACAUCAAAAUCAAUAGUCAGACAUAAAGGACUGGAAAAAAAAGAUGCUGGUGCCAAAAUGAAACAUCUGGGAAAACAGGACGUUUGGCGGCUUCUUUGAAUUUAGGGGGACUGCAGUGAAGACUGUGAGGCAGUGUGGAGCACCUUGAGUCUACAGAAAAAGAAUCAUGGGCUUAGUCAUUUGGAUUAUGACCAAGAAGUCAUAAGUGAAGCCUUGGGAAAGAAUGACCUUUACUGAGAAAGGACAUGGAGAAACAGAGGAGUUGAACUCAGUGAUGCUCCUUAGCUUCUGGUGCAAUGAGAUGGCUCAGCAGAUGGUUUGGUCUUUGGUCGGCUGCUCGUCACUAGCAUCAGUUCAGAUCCUAGACAACUAGCUGUACUUUCCUGCAGGCAUUGCCUACUGAAGAAACAUGUUUCCUUGAGAGAUACAUUAUACUUGGAAGCCCAAUGCUUCUUCAUCUUCAUCUUCUCUGCGGCAAGUUCUUUCCCAGUCAAGAAUCUCCUCUCAUUUAACAAAGUGCUUUUCCCAGCUAACAUGCAUUUGCCAUCUCAGGGACAUGUGGCUGGCUUUGGCAACAUUCUGAGGUUUACAGCUGUUUGAGGUGUGGUGAGGAGUCCCUUAGGAAUUGACAGUUCAAACACAGAGCCAUCCUACUCAGGUUUCCUAGUAGACACUUCUCUUCCAGGGAACACUUUUAAAAUGUCAGCUCUACUUCUGAGUUUGUGAAUUUAUUUGAAGUCUGUCUUUUUUGUGGGUCAACAAGAUAAAAUUGUAGCCUACAAAUAGUUACAAGUUUUCCAGGAAAUUCUGGACAUACUCAGGUGCAAAAACACUAAUGCCAUUGUUCUUUUCCCCUCCUCCUGAACUCAUUCCUUCUUUUCAGUAUCUAGCAGAUCUGUCCAGCUUUAGAAGAAACACGGGGUAUACAUGAGCAUACAUAUUCACUGAGACAAUGGUACUGAUCUAAUGGAAGCUCACCAAGGCCAACUGGACUGAGACUGAUGGAGCAUGUGAUCCAACCAGACUCUCUGA